rnacentral:misc_RNA from 1 species
UUAACUAUUAUAUAGUACUCAGACGUUACAGACAAACAGAGUUUGGGUCCUCUGGCAGGCGCUCGCCGGCCGGAGCCAGCAGCCCGGAGGCAGGCCUGCCAAAGCAACAAAGUGUGAUAAACAAAGGGUGGAAGGUGUGCCCGGUAGCCAUAUCUCAGGCUCCUAGGUUGCUUCAUUUAAUGAUCCUUCCGCAGGUUCACCUACGGAAA